UAUCGGUCUGCUUUUAAUAUUGUCUGAAGAUUGCAUGUAAUUCAUACGGGUAUAACACACAUUUAAGAGUCAUCAUACAAAAUGUUGUCAUUAAAAAUAUUUUAUUAAAAACAUAGUGAGCCAAUUACUUAUUAAUAUGCAGCUCAUCCAUUUAUUUCUUUUUGGUACAUAAGUUACAAAUUAGAUUUUAUUUAUCUUGGAUUGACACUAGCACAAGGAAGUCGUUAGUAUAAUAAACAGCUAUUUUCUCUACUGUGUAAGUAGAUGAUGUAUGAUCCAUUUUUUUAAAUACCAAAGAGCUGUUGCUGCAAACCACUCUUUUCUUGUCAGCUACUAAUGUCUGACCUCUACCCCUUUUAGCUGAAUGGUUCUAUUGGUCAUUAACGGUAGAAGACGGCUCACUCAGCUUUCUUUUCACAUCAGUUAAGGUUAGUGUUAUGAGUUUGUUAGAACCGGGCACUGCUGGAGGCAGCAGAGAGACAGUGCUUGAUACACAGCACACCCAUUAUUUUUCUCACAUUUUGCAGUAUAACUUUAUAAAAAAAAAAAAAGAAAGAAAACAACAACGGGAGAGUAAAUGUCAUGAAAGUGGCGUGCUGUUCAAACAAAACUUGUGGGUUUAUUACAUCGACAACCACAGUGCAGGUCAUUUCAGUCACUUGCUUACAGCCUAUUUGUGAACAUUUCUUUUAUUCUCUUUCUGACAGAUGAAAUCCUUUCUUCACAUUUUUGUCAUUUACUUUCCAAUGAUAAAGCUCAACAAUUAAAUUAUCCCACUAAUAUGUGUUGCUAAGUACACAGCUUGGCAUUUUCAGUGCAUUAAAAGGCAUUGUAAGAAUAAUUUAUCUGUAUAGCAUCUUUCACUGACAUCAAACAACAUAAUUUCAUCACGACUAGAUAUCAAAUUUAAGAUUAGAAUUUAAUAAUAAUGAAUAAUAAUGGAUUGCAUUUAUAUAGCGCUUUUUGGGGCCCUCAAAGCACUGUACAAUUCCACUAUUCAUUCACUCUCACAUUCACACACUGGUGGAGGCAGCUACAGUUGUAGCCACAGCUGCCCUGUGGCAGACUGACAGAAGCGAGGCUGCGAUAUCGCGCCAUCGGCCCCUCUGGCCAUCACCAGUAGGCGGUAGGUGACACAGGAAUCAAAAUGAAGUAAAUAGUGGAAAAAUCAACAGUAUUUAGUACAUUACUUUAUUGUAUACUUAAUGCAUUCUACAAAAAUAAAAAAAUAAAAAAAUGUAUCGCACAUCCAUUUGUAAAACAACAAACAGACAAACUGAACGUUACCUUUAUGCUCUUCAUUGACGUAGCUUUCUAUAAAUCUGAAGCUAUGGGAUGGGCCAAAGUGUUCAAAGACAGAUUUUCAGACAGAUUGUCUCACAACUUAACAAGAACAGACAGCUCCCUUUUUGCCUCCAAUGAUUGUUCGGAGACCUCAGACAAACCCCUUCUUGAAAUUUGGAACCUACAUGGAGCUCUCCAUCUCAGUGAGUAAGUAUAGUUAGGUCCCAGGCAGACACCGUGAAAUGGGCACUGCUCUGGAUCACAGAGCAGGCCAGUGAGCCCAUACUACUCAUAGCUGGUCCAUUUACCAUGGCCCAUUAGUAAGAUCAUACUCUGCUGGCUACACAGCACUGCCAUUCAUUCA
ensembl:lncRNA